rnacentral:rRNA from 1 species
CCAAUGCCUUUCGGGGCUCCUUGGUGAAUCAUAAUAACUUAACGAAUCGCAUGGCCUUGCGCCGGCGAUGGUUCAUUCAAAUUUCUGCCCUAUCAACUUUCGAUGGUAGGAUAGUGGCCUACCAUGGUAUCAACGGGUAACGGGGAAUUAGGGUUCGACUCCGGAGAGGGAGCCUGAGAAACGGCUACCACAUCCAAGGAAGGCAGCGGGCGCGCAAAUUACCCAAUCCCGACACGGGGAGGUAGUGACAAUAAAUACUGAUACAGGGCUCUUUUGGGUCUUGUAAUUGGAAUGAGUACAAUUUAAAUCCCUUAACGAGGAACAAUUGGAGGGCAAGUCUGGUGCCAGCAGCCGCGGUAAUUCCAGCUCCAAUAGCGUAUAUUAAAGUUGUUGCAGUUAAAAAGCUCGUAGUUGAACCUUGGGCCUGGCUGGCCGGUCCGCCUCACCGCGUGUACUGGUCCGGCCGGGCCUUUCCUUCUGGGGAACCUCAUGCCCUUCACUGGGCGUGUUGGGGAACCAGGACUUUUACUUUGAAAAAAUUAGAGUGUUCAAAGCAGGCCUUUGCUCGAAUACAUUAGCAUGGAAUAAUAGAAUAGGACGUGUGGUUCUAUUUUGUUGGUUUCUAGGACCGCCGUAAUGAUUAAUAGGGAUAGUCGGGGGCAUCAGUAUUCAAUCGUCAGAGGUGAAAUUCUUGGAUUGAUUGAAGACUAACUACUGCGAAAGCAUUUGCCAAGGAUGUUUUCAUUAAUCAGUGAACGAAAGUUAGGGGAUCAAAGACGAUCAGAUACCGUC